AUUGAACGCUGGCGGCAUGCUUUACACAUGCAAGUCGAACGGCAGCGCGGGGCAACCUGGCGGCGAGUGGCGAACGGGUGAGUAAUAUAUCGGAACGUACCCAGAAGUGGGGGAUAACGUAGCGAAAGUUACGCUAAUACCGCAUACGAUCUACGGAUGAAAGUAGGGGACCGCAAGGCCUUAUGCUUUUGGAGCGGCCGAUAUCUGAUUAGCUAGUUGGUGAGGUAAAGGCUCACCAAGGCGACGAUCAGUAGCUGGUCUGAGAGGACGACCAGCCACACUGGAACUGAGACACGGUCCAGACUCCUACGGGAGGCAGCAGUGGGGAAUUUUGGACAAUGGGCGCAAGCCUGAUCCAGCAAUGCCGCGUGAGUGAAGAAGGCCUUCGGGUUGUAAAGCUCUUUUGUCAGGGAAGAAACGGUAGAGGCUAAUAUCCUUUGCUAAUGACGGUACCUGAAGAAUAAGCACCGGCUGACUACGUG
rnacentral:rRNA from 1 species